GAGAAAGAGAGAUGUAUGUUUAGUUUAUGACGAGAAAUUUGGGGAGUGUUAAAGGAAGCGAGGUGUGUCUCUCUACAGUAUAAUUACGAGUUAUUUCUCUGGGAAGCCAUGCAGACAGAACCCUGACAGGAACUACAUCUCAGUAAGUACACUAUUUCUAAAUAUGCCUUAUUUUGACAAUAUCUAUUUUUUUUAAACAAUGUUUUUUUUUAAAGAAACAUGUAAAACAUGAUUGAUAGAGUUUAACAGAUAGCACUUUGAUUGCUGUGUUACAGUACUUUGAACUAUGGAGACUAAAAUUGCCAAUGCAGGGAAAUAUGUUCUAUGUAUAUCUUUAAUUGUUAAUAAGUAUUUUUUUAAUCUACUUAGGGAUACGUUUACUAAAUGUUUAUUCCAGAUGAAAUAAAAGACCAAAAACAAAACAAAGCUAAAAUGUUUGUAUUCCAUUUGGAAAAGUACAAUUUCUGCUAUAAUGCUAAUUCUUAAGUAAUCAAGAAAGUAGUUUAUUUGACCCGUGUCAGUGCUUAAUUUACCAGCAAAUACUGGGAUAAAUACUUAGUACCUGCGUAAAAUAUCAAUUAAUUCAGUAACUUAGGUGCUUACUGAUUACCUCAGUGCUUUCAAUGCUCCAGCCAGUGGAAAUCCAUUGAAAUACCAUAUUAUAUAUAGUAUCUUGACAUUAAUGUCAAAGCAAUUAUCUUUUAUAAGUACCUGAGAAAAACUGUUUAUAAAGGUAUCUUUGCAGACAGUAUUUACCUGGCAACUACAUGAAUAAAAAGCACUGCAAAAGGCUAAAAAAAACAUGUUGGCCAACACCCCACUGUUACUUUCCCUGGUAAGGAACAUUGGUCUUAGUGUGCAGCCAGCAGCCACAUCUUUCUAGGACACUAUUGUUCCAUAUGUUUGCAGAUAGCAUUUUCCACAACCAGUCAGACUGGUUAGAUGUGACUGAAUGUAGCAAUAUGUUGACAAGGACCUCCUCCAUCUCUAACUCUAGGUUCUAUACUAGUGAAAGCGGGGACAAAAUAUAAUAUUUUAAAUAAAUCAUUAAAACAAGUAUAAAUAUUUUUUCCAUUUCAGGGUUUUGAUCUGAAACAUCGAGAUGUGGGGUCACAACCAAGGUAAAUGUUUGUAAAUGCAGACCCAUUUAAUUUGUUUCUACCUCUCUUUCAAUUUAUAGUGUAGGUAAUUUGGCUCGUAAUCUAUAUAAAUCUCUCCUUGUAUAGGAAACCAGCAUCCCUCUGGCUACAACGUGAACCCAAGUGGGUGCGAACCGCCAAUGCCAGGUGGGGGACACCCUGGCGGGUGCACCAUUGGUGCCAUCAUGGCCCCAUCAUGCCCUCCCUACCAGCCCCCCUCCACCUGCUACCCUGUGCCACCAUCUUAUCCAGUACAGGGUCCCCAUGGAGGUCAUGGGCAUGGGCACGAUCAUGGGCACGGACCUCAUGGCCAUGAUCAUGGUCACGGGCACGGACAUCAUGGUCAUGAUCAUGGUCACGGUCACGGGCAUCGUGGAGGUCACGGUCAUGGAGGGCACGGUCAUGGAGGACACGGAGGGCACGGUCACGGAGGGCAUGGUCGCGGAGGGCAUGGUCAUGGGCAUGGUCAUGGUCAUGGGCACGGUCAUGGUCAUGGUCAUGGGCACGGUCAUGGAUGCAGGCACAGGCACAAGCAUGGGCAUUGGCAUGGGGGUUGUCACAAGAAAGGGAAGCAGAGUCAUGGGAGUUCAAGCAGCUCCUGCAGCAGUGACUCCGACUAGAGCCUGCAGUCAGAGGGACAUGACUUAUCCUCUUAUCAGCCGUAAGAGACCUGGAUCUCUCUCCCCAGUGCUUUACUAUAGCCCCAGAACCAAUCCCUAAUCCCCAUACCUAACAUAUGGAUGUUACAAACCCACAUCUCUCCCGCUCAUAUGUCUGAUUUUUUUAAAAGCAUGAUGGUUUCUUUUAUGUAAAAUAAUUAAAGGACACAGAGGGAAACGUAUUUUUUCUUGUUGUAUGCCAAAAUGAUUUAAAAAAAUAAAAUAAAAAAUGUCCAAUUACUGUGUACAUCAUAACUACAACCCACAGUAUACAUUUUUGAUAUGUCAAUUAUUGUGGGCCUGGGGAAUUCUGAUUUGUUUAUGGGUAUUUGGUUAUCCGAGCCAAGCUAUAAUUGUAACCCUGCAUAGUUUCCUCAUAAAGUCAAGCAUUCCUAAACAUUGAUUUGUAGGAACCUAAACUCAAAUGUGGGCGGGUUGCCUGUUUUGCAUGUUAUUUUGACAUGAAUACAUGUCACAUAUCAGUUUGCACACAAUAUUAAAAAAUAAAAAUAUGUCAUUAAGCUAAUAAAGCUGCAUACAAACUUA
ensembl:lncRNA